UACAGAGGUGGCAAGCGUUGUUCGGAAUUACUGGGCGUAAAGGGCGCGUAGGCGGUUCUGUAAGUCCCGCGUGAAAUCCCCCGGCUCAACUGGGGAACUGCGCGGGAAACUGCGGGGCUUGAGUUCGGGAGAGGGAAGCGGAAUUCCGGGUGUAGCGGUGAAAUGCGUAGAUAUCCGGAGGAACACCGGUGGCGAAGGCGGCUUCCUGGACCGACACUGACGCUGAGGCGCGAAAGCUAGGGGAGCAAACGGG
rnacentral:rRNA from 1 species